rnacentral:lncRNA from 1 species
UCCAAAAUGGGCUAAGAACCCACAACCAUUGCUUUGAAGCAUUAAAUGGCUUGUAUAGUAUUGUUUGGGGUUAGAAUAUGUUAGAAUACAAUAAAUUUGAUUGAUUACAAGUGCUAGAGGUGCAUGAAGAGUGUUUAGAAGUGUGGAGAAAGACUUGUUGAAAUUGGGUCCCAAAUGGGAUAAGAACUAGGACACAUUGCGUUGAACCACUAAAUAACUUAUCUAGGGUUGUUUGGCGUUAGAAUAUGUUAGAAUACAAUGAAGUUGAUUGAUUACUAGUGCUAGAGAUACAUGAAGAGAGUUUAAAAGUGUAUGGAAAGACUUGCUGAAAUUUGGCCCAAAAUGGGCUAAGAACCCACAACCAUUGCUUUGAAGAAUUAAAUGGCUUGUCUAGUGUUGUUUGGAGUUAGAAUAUGUUAGCAUACAAUAAAUUUGAUUGAUUACAAGGGCUAGAGGUGCAUGAAGAGUGUUUAGAAAUGUGGCGAAAGACUUGUUGAAAUUAGGUCUCAAAUGCGCUAAGAACUAGAAAACAUUGCGUUGAACCAAUAAAUGACUUAUCUAGUGUUGUUUGGGAUUAUAAUAUGUUAGAAUACAAUGAAGUUGAUUGAUUACAAGUGCUAGAGAUACAUGAAGAGUGUUUAAAAGUGGGUAGAAAGACUUGCUGAAAUUUGGUCCAAAAUGGGCUAAGAACCCACAACCAUUGCUUUGAAGAAUUAAAUGGCGUGUCUAGUGUUUUUUGGGGUUAGAAUAUGUUAGCAUACAAUAAAUUUGAUUGAUUACAAGGGCUAGAGGUGCAUGAAGAGUGUUUAGAAGUGUGGAGAAAGACUUGUUGAAAUUGGGUCCCAAAUGGACUAAUAACUCGGAAACAUUGCGUUGAACCACUAAAUGACUUAUCUAGUGUUGUUUGGGGUUAGAAUAUGUUAGAAUACAAUGAAGUUGAUUGAUUACAAGUGCUACAGAUACAUGAACAGUGUUUACAAGUGUGGAGGAAGACUUGCUGAAAUUUGGUCCAAAAUAGGAUAAAAUCCACAACCAUUGCUUUGAAUAAUAAAAUGGCUUGUCUAAUGUUUUUUGGGGUUGGAAUAUGUUAGAAUACAAUAAAUUUGAUUAAUUCCAAGUGCUAGAGGUGCAUGAAGAGUGUUUAGAAGUGUGGAGAAAGACUUGUUGAAAUUAGGUCCCAAAUGAGCUAAGAACUAGGAAACAUUGCGUUGAACCACUAAAUGACUUAUCUAGUGUUGUUUAGGGUUAGAAUAUGUUAGAAUUCAAUAUACUUGAUUGAUUUCAAGUGCUAGAGAUGCAUGAAGAGUGUUUAAAAGUAUGUAGAGAGACUUGCUGAACCCACAACCAUUGCUUUGAAGCAUUAAAUGGCUUGUAUAGUGUUGUUUGGGGUUAGAAUAUGUUAGAAUACAAUAAAUUUGAUUGAUUAAAAGUGCUAGAGAUGCAUGAACUGAUUUUAGAAGUGUGGAGAAAGACUUGUUGAAAUUGGGUCCGAGAUGGGCUAAAAACUCGGAAACAUUGCGUUGAACCACUAAAUGACUUAUUUAGUGUUUGUUUGGGGUUAGAAUUUGUUAGUAUACAAUGAAGUUAAUUGAUUACAAGUAAUAGAGAUAGAUAAAGAGUGUUUAAAAGUGUGUAGAAAGAUUUGCUGAAAUUUGGUCCAAAAUGGGAUAAGAACCCACAACCAUUGCUUUGNNNNNNNNNNNNNNNNNNNNNNNNNNNNNNNNNNNNNNNNNNNNNNNNNNNNNNNNNNNNNNNNNNNNNNNNNNNNNNNNNNNNNNNNNNNNNNNNNNNNUGGGUCGCAAAUGGGCUAAGAAAUCGGAAACAUUGCGUUGAACCACUAAAUGACUUAUCUAGUGUUGUUUGGGGCUAUGAUAUGUUAGAAUACAAUGAAUUUGAUUGAUUGCAAGUGCUAGAGAUGCAGGAAGAGUGUUUAAAAGUGUGUAGAGAGACUUGCUGAAAUUUGGGCCAAAAUGGGCUAAGAACUCACAACCAUUGCUUUGAAGAAUUAAAUGGAAUGUCUAAUGUUGUUUGGUGUUAUAAUAUGUUAGAAUACAAUAAAUUUGAUUAAUUACAAGUGCUAUAGGUGCAUGAAGAGUGUUUCGAAGUGUGGAGAAAGACUUGUUUAAAUUGGGUCCCAAAUGGGCUAAAAACUCGGACACAUUGCGUUGAACCACGAAAUGACUUAUCUAGUGUUGUUUGGGGUUAGAAUAUGUUAGAAUACAAUGAAUUUGACUGAUUUCAAGUGCUAGAGAUGCAUGAAGAGUGAUUAAAAGUGUGUAGAGAGACUUGCUGAAAUUUGGUCCAAAAUGGGCUAAGAACCCACAACCAUUGCUUUGAAGAAUUAAAUGGAUUGUAUAGUGUUGUUUGGGGUUAGAAUAUGUUAGAAUACAAUAAAUUUGAUUGAUUACAACUGCUAGAGGUGCAUGAAGAGUGUUUAGAAGUGUGGAGAAAGCUUGUUGAAAUUGGGUCCGAGAUGGGCUAAAAACUCGGGAACAUUGCGUUGAACCACGAAAUGACUUAUUUAGUGUUUGUUUGGGGUUAGAAUUUGUUAGAAUACAAUGAAGUUGAUUGAUUAAAAGUAAUAGAGUUAGAUAAAGAGUGUUUAAAAGUGUGUAGGUAGACUUGCUGAAACUUGGUCCAAAAUGGGAUAAGAACCCACAACCAUUGCUUUGAAUAAUUAAAUGGCUUAUCUAAUGUUGUUUGGGACUAGAAUAUGUUAGAAUACAAUAAAUUUGAUUAAUUACAAGUGCUAUAGGUGCAUGAAGAGUGUUUCGAAGUGUGGAGAAAGACUUGUUUAAAUUGGGUCCCAAAUGGGCUAAAAACUCGGACACAUUGCGUUGANNNNNNNNNNNNNNNNNNNNNNNNNNNNNNNNNNNNNNNNNNNNNNNNNNNNNNNNNNNNNNNNNNNNNNNNNNNNNNNNNNNNNNNNNNNNNNNNNNNNAAUGACUUAUUUAGUGUUGUUUGGGGUUAGAAUAUGUUAGAAUACAAUGAAUUUGAUUGAUUUCAAGUGCUAGAGAUGCAUGAUGAGUGUUUGAAAGUGUGUAAAGAGACUUGCUGAAAUUUGGUCCAAAAUUGGGCUAAGAAUCCACAACCAUUGAUUUGAAGCAUUAAAUAGCUUGAAUAGUGUUGUUUGGGGUUAGAAUAUAAUAUAAUACAAUAAAUUUGAUUGAUUACAAGUGCUAGUGGUGCAUGAAGAGUGUUUAGAAGUGUGGAGAAAAACUUGUUGAAAUUGUGUCCCAAAUGGGCUAAAAACUCGGAAACUUCGCGUUGAACCACUAAAUCACUUAUUUAGUGUUGUUUGGGGUUAGAAUUUGUUAUAAUACAAUGAAGUUGAUUAAAUACAAGUAAUAGCGAUAGAUAAAGAGUGUUUAAAAGUGAUUGAUUACAAGUGCUAGAGAUACAUGAAGAGUGUUUAAAUGUGUGUAGAAAGACCUGCUGAAAUUAGGUCCAAAAUGGGCUAAGAACCCACAACCAUUAGUUUGAAGAAUUAAAUGGCUUGUCUAGUGUUGUUUGGGGUUAGAAUAUGUUAGCAUACAAUAAAUUUGAUUGAUUACAAGGGCUAGAAUAAAAUAAAUUUGAUUAAUUACAAGUGCUAUAGGUGAAUGAAGAGUGUUUCGAAGUGUGGAGAAAGACUUGUUGAAAUUGGGUCCCAAAUGGGCUAAAAACUCUGAAACAUUGCGUUGAACCACUAAAUGGCUUAUCUAGUGUUUUUUGGAAUUAUAAUUUGGUAGAAUACAAUGAAUUUGAUUGAUUACAAGUCAUAGAGAUAGAUAAAGAGUGUAAGUGUGGAGGAAGACUUGCUGAAAUUUGGUCCAAAAUAGGAUAAGAACCCACAACCAUUGCUUUGAAGAAUUAAAUGGCUUGUCUAAUGUUGUUUGGGGUUAUAAUAUGUUCGAAUACAAUAAAUUUUAUUAAUUACAAGUGCUAUAGGUACAUGAAGAGUGUUUCGAAGUGUGGAGAAUGACUUGUUGAAAUUGGGUCCCAAAUGGGCUACGAACUCGGAAACAUUGCGUUAAACCACUAAAUGACUUAUUUAGUGUUAUUUGGGGUUAGAAUUUGUUAUAAUACAAUCAAGUUGAUUGAUUACAAGUGAUAGAGAUAGAUGAAGGGUGUUUAAAAGUGUGUAGGAAGACUUGCUGAAAUUUGGUCCAAAAUGGGAUAAGAACCCACAACCAUUGCUUUGAAUAAUUAAAUGGCUUGUCUAAUAUUGUUUGGGGUUAUAAUAUGUUAGAAUACCAUAAAUUUGAUUAAAUACAAGUGCUACAGGUGCAUGAAGAGUGUUUCGAAGUGUGGAGAAAGACUUGUUGAAAUUAAGUCCCAAAUGGGCUAAGAACUCGGAAACAUUACGUUGAACCACUAAAUGACUUAUUUAGUGUUAUUUGGGGUUAGAAUUUGUUAGAAUACAAUCAAGUUGAUUGAUUACAAGUGAUAGAGAUAGAUGAAGAGUGUUUGAAAGUGUGUAGGAAGACUUGCUGAAAUUUGGUCCAAAAUGGGGUAAGAUCCCACAACCAUUGCUUUGAAUAAUUAAAUGGCUUGUCUAAUUUUGUUUGGGUUAGAAUAUUUUAAAAUACAAUAAAUUUGAUUGAUUUCAAGUGCUAGAGAUGCAUGAAGAGUGAUUAAAAGUGUGUAGAGAGACUUGCUGAAAUUUGGUCCAAAAUGGGCUAAGAACCCAGGAAACAUUGCAUUGAACCACUAAAUGACUUAUCUAGUGUUGUUUAGGGUUAGAAUAUGUUAGAAUUCAAUAUACUUGAUUGAUUUCAAGUGCUAGAGAUGCAUGAAGAGUGUUUAAAAGUAUGUAGAGAGACUUGCUGAAAUUUGGUCCAAAAUGGGCUAAGAACCCACAACCAUUGCUUUAAAGCAUUAAAUGGCUUGUAUAGUGUUGUUUGGGGUUAGAAUAUCUUAGAAUACAAUAAAUUUGAUUGAUUAGAAGUGUUAGAGGUGCAUGAAGAGUGUUUAGUAGUGUGGAGAAAGACUUGUUGGAAUUGGGUCCCAAAUGGGCUAAAAACUCGGAAACAUUGCAUUGAACUACUAAAUGAUUAAGUUAAUGUUGUUUGGGGUUAGAAUUUAUUAGAAUACAAUGAAGUUGAUUGAUUACAAGUAAUAGAGAUAGAUAAAGAGUGUUUAAAAGUGUGUAGGAAGACUUGCUGAAAUUUGGUCCAAAAUGGGAUAAGAACCCACGACCAUUGCUUUGAAUAAUAAAAUGGCUUGUCUAAUGUUUUUUGGGGUUGGAAUAUGUUAGAAUACAAUAAAUUUGAUUAAUUCCAAGUGCUAGAGGUGCAUGAAGAGUGUUUAGAAGUGUGGAGAAAGACUUGUUGAAAUUAGGUCCCAAAUGGGCUAAGAACUAGGAAACAUUGCGUUGAACCACUAAAUGACUUAUCUAGUGUUGUUCGGGGUUAAAAUAUGUUAGAAUACAAUGAAUUUGAUUGAUUUCAAGUGCUAGAGAUGCAUGAAGAGUGUUUAAAAGUGUGUAAAGAGACUUGCUGAAAUUUGGUCCAAAAUGGGCUAUGAACUCNNNNNNNNNNNNNNNNNNNNNNNNNNNNNNNNNNNNNNNNNNNNNNNNNNNNNNNNNNNNNNNNNNNNNNNNNNNNNNNNNNNNNNNNNNNNNNNNNNNNUAAAUUUGAUUGAUUACAAGUGUUAGAGGUGCAUGAAGAGUGUUUAGAAGUGUGGAGAAAGACUUGUUGAAAUUGGGUUCCAAAUGGGCUAAAAACUCGGAAACUUUGCGUUGAACCACUAAAUGACUUAUUUAGUGUUUUUUUGGGGUUAGAAUUUGUUAGAAUACAAUGAAUUUGAUUGAUUACAAGUAAUAGAGAUAGAUAAAGAGUGUUUAAAAGUGUGUAGGAAGACUUGCUGAAAUUUGGUCCAAAAUGGGAUAAGAACCCACAACAAUUUUUGAAUAACUAAAUGGCUCGUAUAAUGUUGUUUGGGGUUAGAAUAUGUUAGAAUACAAUAAAUUUGAUUAAUUACAAGUGCUAGAGGUGCAUGAAGAGUGUUUAGAAGUGUGGAGAAAGACUUGUUGAAAUUAGGUCCCAAAUGGGCUAAAAACUAGGAAACAUUGCGUUGAACAACUAAAUGACUUAUCUAGUGUUGUUUGGGGUUAGAAUAUGUUAGAAUAACAUGAAUUUUAUUGAUUCCAAGUGCUAGAGAUGCAUGAAGAGUGUUUAAAAGUGUGUAGAGAGACUUGCUGAAAUUUGGUUCAAAAUGGGCUAAGAACCCACAACCAUUGCUUUGAAGAAUUAAAUGGCUUGUCUUAUGUUGUUUGGGGUUAUAACAAGUUAGAAUACAAUAAAUUUGAUUGAUUAGAAGUGUUAGAGGUGCAUGAAGAGUGUUUAGAAGUGUGGAGAAAGACUUGUUGAAAUUAGGUCCCAAAUGGGCUAAGAACUAGGACACAUUGCGUUGAACCACUAAAUGACUUAUCUAGUGUUGUUUGGGGUUAGAAAAUGUUAGAAUACAAUGAAGUUGAUUGAUUACAAGUGCUAGAGAUACAUGAAGGGUGUUUAAAAGUGUGUUGAAUGACUUGCUCAAAUUUCGUCCAAAAUGGGCUAAGAACCCACAACCAUUGCUUUGAAAAAUUAAAUAGCUUGUAUACUGUUGUUUGGGGUUAUAAUAUGUUAGAAUACAAUAAAUUAGAUAAUUACCAGUGUUAGAGGUGCAUGAAGAGUGUUUAGAAAUGUGGAGAAAGACUUGUUGAAAUUAGGUCCGAAAUGCGCUAAGAACUAGGAAACAUUGCGUUGAACCAAUAAAUGACUUAUCUAGUGUUGCUUGGGGUUAGAAUAUGUUACAAUACAAUGAAGUUGAUUGAUUACAAGUGCUAGAGAUACAUGAAGAGUGUUUUAAGUGGGUAGAAAGACUUGGUGAAAUUUGGUCCAAAAUGGGCUAAGAUCCCACAACCAUUGCUUUGAAGAAUUAAAUGGCUUGUCUAAUGUUUUCUGGGGUUAGAAUAUGUUAGCAUACAAUAAAUUUGAUUGAUUACAAGUGCUAGAGGUGCAUGAACAGUGUUUAGAAGUGUGGAGAAAAACUUGUUGAAAUUGGGUCCCAAAUGGGCUAAAAACUCGGAAACUUCGUGUUGAACCACUAAAUCACUUAUUUAGUGUUGUUUGGGGUUAGAAUUUGUUAUAAUACAAAUAAGUUGAUUAAUUACAAGUAAUAGCGAUAGCUAAAGAGUGUUUAAAAGUGUGGAGAAACACUUGUUGAAAUUAGGUCCCAAAUGGGCUAAGAACUAGGACACAAUGCGUUGAACCACUAAAUGACUUAUCUAGGGUUGUUUGGGGUUAGAAUAUAUUAGAAUACAAUGAAGUUGAUUGAUUGCAAGUGCUAGAGAUGCAUGAAGAGUGUUUAAAAGUGUGUAGAGAGACUUGCUGAAAUUUGGUCCAAAAUGGGCUAAGAACCCACAACUAUUGCUUUGAAGCAUUAAAUGGCUUUUAUAGUGUUGUUUGGGGUUAGAAUAUGUUAGAAUACAAUAAAUUUGAUUGAUUACAAGUGCUAGAGGUGCAUGAAGNNNNNNNNNNNNNNNNNNNNNNNNNNNNNNNNNNNNNNNNNNNNNNNNNNNNNNNNNNNNNNNNNNNNNNNNNNNNNNNNNNNNNNNNNNNNNNNNNNNNGUUGAAAUUUGGUCCAAAAUGGGACAAGAGCCCACAACCAUUGCUUUAAAGAAUUAAAUGGCCUGUCUAAUGUUGUUUGAGGUUAGAGGAUGUUAGAAUACAAUAAAUUUGAUUGAUUACAAGUGCUAGAGGUGCAUGAAGAGUUUUUAGAAGGGUGGAGAAAGACUUAUUGAAAUUGGGUCCCAAAUUGGCUAAGAAAUAGGAAACAUUGGGUUGACCCACUAAAUGACUUAUCUAGUGUUGUUUAAGGUUAGAAUAUGUUAGAAUACAAUGAAUUUGAUUGAUUGCAAGUCCUAGAGAUCCAUGAAGAGUGAUUAAAAGUGUGUAGGAAGACUUACUGAAAUUUGGUCCAAAAUGGGAUAAGAACCCACGACCAUUGCUUUGAAUAAUAAAAUGGCUUGUCUAAUGUUUUUUGGGGUUGGAAUAUGUUUUACAAUAAAGUUGAUUAAUUCCAAGUGCUAGAGGUGCAUGAAGAGUGUUUAGAAGUGUGGAGAAAGACUUGUUAACAUUAGGUCCCAAAUGGGCUAAGAACUCGGAAACAUUGCGUUGAACCACUAAAUGACUUAUUUAGUGUUGUUU